rnacentral:lncRNA from 1 species
UUCUCUUCAAUUCUUUCCAUAAGAUUUUAUGUGCAAAAUACUACAAGGUUUGAUCUUAUUACUAAUGAUCUCAUGCCAUGUAGCAUGUGCCAUGUAAAAAAGAAAAGAAUCGGUCACUCGGGCACUCCGAUUAUGUGGGGCAAUUUUUUUAAUUACAAAUUAUGUUAGCAUAUCCUUAUCAGCCAAAUGCCAAAAGGUACAGCUAAAAUUAGAUCAUAUAUGGAUACUAAAAAUAUAGAUAUAAAUUGAAUUAUAAAAUUUUAUGACCAC